UCUAUCAUGAAUGGUUUCCAAGGGCACAGAAUAUAACAGAAUAUGUAAUCAAUCUUGGCAUUAGAAAGUUUCCUAGUAACAGCAGAAGCAUGUGAGAAAGUUUCCUUAUAAUGGCAGGCUAAUGAGGUAACUGUUACCUAGGCCUUAACAUUUUACCUGCACCUUAACAUUUCAUCCAGGUCUUAGUAUUUUACCUAGGUCCUAACAGAGACUGUCCUUUUCUGAUGGCUCAGCUGAUCCAAAUCUCUUCCAGGCAGUUCUCCUGGUUUCUACUUCCUCCAGGCUGCUCGGUUGGUCUCUGUGUCUUCUUUGCAACUUGGAGGUCAGAUACUCACACCUGAUGUCAGUGAAGGAGAAAGUACAGCUUUUCCAGAGGGACUGACCUGGUCCAGCGGACCUCUAAUAGUUUUCAAUGGUUAAGUCUGUAACACUAGGUUUUUAAUAUAUUUUCAAAAUUCUCAAACAAGUGUCCUGCAACAGUGAGUGUUGAAGGAGGAAGAGUUGGAAGGGUUGGAUGUUGGGGAUCAAGGUAUUGGGGAAAGGACCUGGGUAGGAAAGGGAAACCUGGUAGAAUCUGAAGGCCAGGCAACCCAAUUGCACUUGAAAUAAGAUUUCAUGGUAGAUCACAUGAAAUCACGGCCAGGAAUUAGACCCUAAAAUCUGACCCAUAUUCAAAAGAUUCACUUAACAGUGAAUUCCAGUACUGUCAUGACUGAAGGAUUACAGCUCUGAAGGGAAAGAUAUCCUGGCAGUCAGGAGCUAAGGAAUACCACAACAUCACUCUGCACAACAAACCUAACAUGAGAAAUUUGGGGGAAAACCAAUAAAGGAUGGCUGCCUCUGCUCAGGAGAGAAGCAGCAGAGAACCAAGCAGGAGGCGUUGAAAUAUCCAGGACUCGUGGAGGAAGGUGCAUACUGACAUCCAGUACCAAGAUGGAUCUCGAGGUGGUGUACAAUUUAAACCUGGUUCAGAAAGCAGUGAGAGAGACCAAGACAAAACCAGGUGCUAGAAAAUCUGACAAGAAAAGCUGGGAAAUGGCAUUAUGCAAGGAAGAGAAGAAA
rnacentral:lncRNA from 1 species